GACGAACCGUGCGAACGUUAUUCGGAAUCACUGGGCUUAAAGCGCGUGUAGGCGGAAGGGCACGUCUGGUGCUGAAAUCCCCCGGCUCAACCGGGGAACGGGCACGGAUACGACUCUUCUGGAGGAACGUAGGGGGACCUGGAACUUCCGGUGGAGCGGUGAAAUGCGUAGAGAUCCGGAGGAACACCAAUGGCGAAGGCAGGGUCCUGGCUGGCACCUGACGCUGAUGUGCGAAAGCCAGGGGAGCGAACGGG
rnacentral:rRNA from 1 species